UACAGAGGUCCCAAGCGUUGUUCGGAUUCAUUGGGCGUAAAGGGUGCGUAGGCGGCAGGGUAAGUCUGGUGUGAAAUCCCGGGGCUCAACCCCGGAACUGCACUGGAUACUGCUUUGCUAGAGUACUGGAGAGGGAACUGGAAUUUACGGUGUAACAGUGAAAUGCGUAGAUAUCGUAAGGAAGACCAGUGGCGAAGGCGAGUUCCUGGACAGUUACGUGACGCUGAGGCACGAAGGCCAGGGGAGCAAACGGG
rnacentral:rRNA from 1 species